UUGAGCCGUAUGCGGGGAAACUCGCACGUACGGUUCUUAGGGGGGGACAGAUCAGCAAUGAUCUCGUCCCUACCCUAC
rnacentral:ncRNA from 1 species